GGCGCACGGGUGCGUAACGCGUGGGAAUCUGCCCUUGGGUUCGGAAUAACUCGCCGAAAGGCGUGCUAAUACCGGAUAACGACGUAAGUCCAAAGAUUUAUCGCCCAGGGAUGAGCCCGCGUAGGAUUAGCUAGUUGGUGUGGUAAAGGCGCACCAAGGCGACGAUCAGUAGCUGGUCUGAGAGGAUGAUCAGCCACACUGGGACUGAGACACGGCCCAGACUCCUACGGGAGGCAGCAGUGGGGAAUAUUGGACAAUGGGCGAAAGCCUGAUCCAGCCAUGCCGCGUGGGUGAAGAAGGUCUUCGGAUUGUAAAGCCCUUUCGGCGGGGACGAUGAUGACGGUACCCGCAGAAGAAGCCCCGGCUAACUUCGUGCCAGCAGCCGCGGUAAU
rnacentral:rRNA from 1 species